UACGUAGGGUGCAAGCGUUAAUCGGAAUUACUGGGCGUAAAGCGUGCGCAGGCGGUUUUGUAAGUCUGUCGUGAAAUCCCCGGGCUCAACCUGGGAAUUGCGAUGGAGACUGCAAGGCUAGAAUCUGGCAGAGGGGGGUAGAAUUCCACGGUGUAGCAGUGAAAUGCGUAGAGAUCAGGAAGAACACCCAUGGCGAAGGCAGCUCUCUGGGCCGGUACAUGACGCUGGAGACGCGAAAGCGUGGGGAGCGAACGGG
rnacentral:rRNA from 1 species